GAUGAACGCUAGCUACAGGCUUAACACAUGCAAGUCGAGGGACCGGCGCACGGGUGAGUAACACGUAUCCAACCUGCCCUUUACUCGGGGCUAGCCUUUCGAAAGCAAGAUUAAUACCCGAUGUAAAGGAUGGGGAUGCGUUCCGUUAGGUUGUUGGUGAGGUAACGGCUCACCAAGCCUUCGAUGGAUAGGGGUUCUGAGAGGAAGGUCCCCCGGAUUGGAAAUGUGACAAGGUCCAAACUACUACGGGAGGCAGCAGUGACGAAUAUUGGUCCAUGGGCGUUAAACUGAACCAGCCAAGGAGCGUGAAAGAUGAAGGCUUAUGGGUCGUAAACUUCUUUUGUUAGGGAAGCGGUACCUAACGAAUAAGCACCGGCUAACUCCGUGCCAGCAGCCGCGGUAAUUC
rnacentral:rRNA from 1 species